rnacentral:rRNA from 1 species
UCUGCCUAUUAGUGGGGGACAACAUUCCGAAAGGAAUGCUAAUACCGCAUACGCCCUACGGGGGAAAGCAGGGGAUCUUCGGACCUUGCGCUAAUAGAUGAGCCUAAGUCAGAUUAGCUAGUUGGUGGGGUAAAGGCCUACCAAGGCGACGAUCUGUAGCGGGUCUGAGAGGAUGAUCCGCCACACUGGGACUGAGACACGGCCCAGACUCCUACGGGAGGCAGCAGUGGGGAAUAUUGGACAAUGGGCGAAAGCCUGAUCCAGCCAUGCCGCGUGUGUGAAGAAGGCCUUUUGGUUGUAAAGCACUUUAAGCGAGGAGGAGGCUACUGGGAUUAAUACUCUAGGAUAGUGGACGUUACUCGCAGAAUAAGCACCGGCUAACUCUGUGCCAGCAGCCGCGGUAAUACAGAGGGUGCGAGCGUUAAUCGGAUUUACUGGGCGUAAAGCGUGCGUAGGCGGCUUUUUAAGUCGGAUGUGAAAUCCCUGAGCUUAACUUAGGAAUUGCAUUCGAUACUGGGAAGCUAGAGUAUGGGAGAGGAUGGUAGAAUUCCAGGUGUAGCGGUGAAAUGCGUAGAGAUCUGGAGGAAUACCGAUGGCGAAGGCAGCCAUCUGGCCUAAUACUGACGCUGAGGUACGAAAGCAUGGGGAGCAAACAGGAUUAG